UAUCUCUGUAGAGUCUGCAUAUCAAUAAGCGGAGGAAAAGAAACUAACAAGGAUUCCCUUAGUAACGGCGAGUGAAGCGGGAAGAGCUCAAAUUUGAAAUCUUCAAGGUUCUACCUUGACGAAUUGUAGUUUAAAGAAGUGUUUUCUGUUAGAUGAGUAGCAAAAGGUUCCUUGGAAUGGGACAUCAUAGAGGGUGAGAAUCCCGUAUUUGGUUAUUCAUUCUAGCUUUGUGAUACACUUUCAAAGAGUCGGAUUGUUUGGGAAUGCAGUCCAAAAUGGGUGGUAAAUUUCAUCUAAAGCUAAAUAUUGGCGAGAGACCGAUAGCGAACAAGUACCGUGAGGGAAAGAUGAAAAGAACUUUGAAAAGAGAGUUAAACAGUACGUGAAAUUGUCAAAAGGGAAGCGUUUGACACCAGUGUUGUUUUUCCGAAAAUCAAUUACGAAUGGCUUGAUUCUGUGUUGUAUUGACCUUAUCAGCUUUCUUCACUUUUUUCGAGUCUUUCUUAAUGCACUUUUCGGUUAACAAGUCAACAUCAAUUUCUUUUGUUGUAAAAGAGUAUUCGGAAGGUGGCUUUCUUUUCGGAGAAAGUGUUUAUAGCCCUAUACUUCUACAAUCGGAGAGAUUGAGGUCUGCAGCGUAGAUCCUUCGGGGUUAGAUACACUUGUGCUAAGUUGUAGCUUUUCAUAGACAACUUGUUGACUAUGUUUAGUCAUGCGGCUUACUCGCUUGUGCUAUUUUACCUACGCUUAGGAUGUUGACGAGACUGUCGAUCUC
rnacentral:rRNA from 1 species